rnacentral:lncRNA from 1 species
GAUGUUUACGUCCUCUUAUAUUUAUUCAUACUAUAGAUAAGUGUCGACUGAUAUAACGUUCAACGACAAAUAAACAAAGAUAUGUUGUACUAUGAGACUUCUAAUGACAACUAUAUGUCGUCUCAUAUUGUCAAACUACUAGGCGCUAUAUCAUCUAGAGUCCAACGACAAUUACUUGUCGUUUGACUUGUCUUGAGACCACAAAUGUUUAACUUCACGGAUUCUGCCGGAUUGCUGCCUCGCCACUCGUCGGAUUCCGGUGACUUGCCGGAAUUUCGCCAUAGCCUCCCCAUAAACUCCUAUCACCAAGUUAUCGACAAGUAUCAACCACAACAAUGAUUUCAGUCACAAUCCAACUCAAUAACCGCAACACAAACAACAACACAGCCGACCAAAUCGAACUCCUUACCUCCAAUCUGAACACCACUCAAACCCAGCAACCUCUCCUUGCUUGAAAUCAAUAAGCAGUCCCUCUGCCACGAUGUUGCAUAACAGCAGCUGCCCCAAAGCUUCCCAACUCUAAGUCUCGUCUUCGCCAAGGAUGAACUACGCUCGUCAGAGCUCGUGGUCGCCACCAAAACACGAAGAACACAAUCGCCAGAAAAGAAGCUCAAGAAACCCAGAAACACAGAAGGGGAUUUCUGAGUUAGGUCUCAAUUGAAGGAAAUAAAGCACUAGACUAUGCAGAAGGAAGAGAGGAGGAAGGGACUCACCGUCGCUAGGUGGAUCGGUGACCGGAGCCCAAGCCCUCGCCGGAAAACAGAGAAGGACAGUCACCGUCCUCCUCCAUCGAUCUCCGCCAAAAGUGGAUGUCUUCAGGAUUAAAGGACUGGGCUGAGUUGAGGAGGAGGAGAGGAUCACUUCGGUGGCGGUCUCACCGUCCGGUGCUGCCGGAAUCGUUGCUGCUCAACGGAGGAGAGAGAGAGAGUCGGGGAGAGAUGAGAGAGACAGAGAGGGACGGGUCAACGCCUUUAGAGAGAGUGAUGAAAAGAGAGCACUGCCUUUAGACUUAGUGAUGCGGCGCAAGACCUUUGUAACCUAAAUGCUUUGUAAUCUUGAUCACACGACAUAAAAAUGAUAUCCGACUUCACAAAUUAGUCACUACUAGCCCGACUCCCAAUGAAACCUCUAAACCCUCUUUUCGGUCAAUUUUUUUUGACUUAUUUAUGUAUUCAUCAAACGACAUAUAUAUGUAGUCUGUAUUGAAUAAAGAAAGAUCGAUACAUGUUGACCACAUCGACCGAGACCCGAACAUCUUCGAAAAUCACUGAAUUUUGUACCAUAGCCAUUUUUCACUAUAAUGAUAAGAUCUAACACUCAAACUUUCAUUUUGUUUAUUUUUGUCAUUUGAAUCACAAUAUUCUGCUAAUCUGUUAUAAGAUGUUUACCAAAGAUAUAUCGAAACAUACAUCUUUCUAAACUAACUAUAUAUAUGAAAUAAAAUUUACCAAAUCUGACCGUACGAUGUAUUCGAUGUAGUUAAAUAUGAAUGUGGUAAAAACUUAUCCAAUUUCAAAAAAGUUCAAGUCUCGAUCACACGAGUCAACUGUGCGCUUACACUAAACUUCCUUGUACGCUCUACGGGAAGCAAUAUCAUCGUUUGAUAAACAUGUCCAAAUUUUCGCAUAGAUUAGUUUUCCAAUACGAAAU